rnacentral:rRNA from 1 species
GAUCCUGGCUCAGGAUGAACGCUGGCGGCGUGCUUAACACAUGCAAGUCGAACGAACGACUAUUAACAGAACCUUUCGGGGCGAAGAUGAUAGAAGUUAGUGGCGGACGGGUGCGUAACGCGUGGGUAAUCUGCCUUUGUCAAAGGAAUAACUAUUCGAAAGAAUAGCUAAAACCGUAUAACAUAUUAAUAGGGCAUCCUAAUAAUAUCAAAACGAUAGUGGACAAAGAUGAGCCCGCGUCUGAUUAGCUAGUUGGUGAGAUAAAAGCCCACCAAGGCAACGAUCAGUAGCCGACCUGAGAGGGUGAACGGCCACAUUGGAACUGAGACACGGUCCAAACUCCUACGGGAGGCAGCAGUGGGGAAUAUUGCACAAUGGGGGGAACCCUGAUGCAGCGACGCCGCGUGAGCGAAGAAGGUUUUCGAAUCGUAAAGCUCUGUCCUAUGAGAAGAUAAUGACGGUAUCAUAGGAGGAAGCCCCGGCUAAAUACGUGCCAGCAGCCGCGGUAAUACGUAUGGGGCGAGCGUUGUCCGGAAUUAUUGGGCGUAAAGGGUACGUAGGCGGUUUUUUAAGUCAGGUGUGAAAGCGUGAGGCUUAACCUCAUUAAGCACUUGAAACUGGAAGACUUGAGUGAAGGAGAGGAAAGUGGAAUUCCUAGUGUAGCGGUGAAAUGCGUAGAUAUUAGGAGGAACACCGGUGGCGAAGGCGACUUUCUGGACUUUUACUGACGCUCAGGUACGAAAGCGUGGGGAGCAAACAGGAUUAGAUACCCUGGUAGUCCACGCCGUAAAC